rnacentral:rRNA from 1 species
GACGAACGCUGGCGGCGUGCCUAAUACAUGCAAGUCGAGCGGACGGAUGGGAGCUUGCUCCCAGACCGUCAGCGGCGGACGGGUGAGUAACACGUGGGCAACCUGCCUGUAAGACUGGGAUAACUCCGGGAAACCGGGGCUAAUACCGGAUAACUCUUUCCCUCACAUGAGGGAAAGCUGAAAGAUGGCAUCUCGCUAUCACUUACAGAUGGGCCCGCGGCGCAUUAGCUAGUUGGUGAGGUAACGGCUCACCAAGGCGACGAUGCGUAGCCGACCUGAGAGGGUGAUCGGCCACACUGGGACUGAGACACGGCCCAGACUCCUACGGGAGGCAGCAGUAGGGAAUCUUCCGCAAUGGGCGAAAGUCUGACGGAGCAACGCCGCGUGAGUGAUGAAGGUUUUCGGAUCGUAAAACUCUGUUGUCAGGGAAGAACAAGUACCGGAGUAACUGCCGGUACCUUGACGGUACCUGACCAGAAAGCCACGGCUAACUACGU